rnacentral:lncRNA from 1 species
AUGGAGACCUCAGCAAAGGACCGGCAAGAAAAGGGGCCAGAAUUGAGCACCAUAAUCCCAGAUUUCGGGGGAAUCACAUUUAUCAACCAUCCACAAGUGUCUGCCUGCUUGGGGAGGAGGAUGAAGAGGCACUGUUUGACAAGAGUUGAAGUGGCAGAGUGUAAAGAUAUUAAAUCAGGUUGCAGAAUAGAUUUUUGUUUUGAUGAAAAUCCUUCUUUCUAA